rnacentral:rRNA from 1 species
GACGAACGCUGGCGGCGUGCUUAACACAUGCAAGUCGAACGAAGUGGCGAACGGGUGAGUAACGCGUAAUCAACCUGCCCGUCAGAGGGGGACAACAGUUGGAAACGACUGCUAAUACCGCAUAAUGAAGGAGGGGCUUGCGUCGGAUUAGGUAGUUGGAGGGGUAAAGGCCCACCAAGGCGACUAUAAGUAGCCGGUCGGGAUGAUUGGACGACUGCAUUUGGACGUAGACACGGCCGAGAAUUCUACGGGAGGCAGCAGUAGGGAAUCAACGGCAAUGGAGGUAAGUCGGGCGGAGCAACGCCGCGUGAGGGAUGAGGGCCUUCGGGUUGAAAGGCUCUGUUAUUCGGGACGCGGUACUGGAAUAGAGAGCCACGGCUAACAACGUGCCAGCCGCCGCGGUAAUUC